rnacentral:rRNA from 1 species
UGGGGAAUUUUGGACGAUGGGCGCAAGCCUGAUCCAGCCAUGCCGCGUGCAGGAUGAAGGCCUUCGGGUUGUAAACUGCUUUUGUACGGAACGAAAAGACUCCGUCUAAUAAAGGGGGUCCAUGACGGUACCGUAAGAAUAAGCACCGGCUAACUACGUGCCAGCAGCCGCGGUAAUACGUAGGGUGCGAGCGUUAAUCGGAAUUACUGGGCGUAAAGCGUGCGCAGGCGGUGAUGUAAGACAGGUGUGAAAUCCCCGGGCUUAACCUGGGAAUUGCAUUUGUGACUGCAUCACUGGAGUGCGGCAGAGGGGGAUGGAAUUCCGCGUGUAGCAUUGAAAUGCGUAGAUAUGCGAAGGAACACCGAUGGCGAAGGCAAUCCCCUGGACCUGUACUGACGCUCAUGCACGAAAGCGUGGGGAGCAAACA